UACGGAGGGGGCUAGCGUUGUUCGGAAUUACUGGGCGUAAAGCGCGCGUAGGCGGACCUGCAAGUCGGGGGUGAAAUCUCGGGGCUUAACUCCGAAACUGCAUUCGAUACUGCCGUGCUUGAGGACUGGAGAGGAGACUGGAAUUUACGGUGUAGCGGUGAAAUGCGUAGAUAUCGUAAGGAAGACCAGUGGCGAAGGCGGGUCUCUGGACAGUUCCUGACGCUGAGGCACGAAGGUCAGGGGAGCAAACGGG
rnacentral:rRNA from 1 species